rnacentral:rRNA from 1 species
CCUACGGGUGGCAGCAGUGAGGAAUAUUGGUCAAUGGGCGCGAGCCUGAACCAGCCAAGUAGCGUGAAGGAUGACUGCCCUACGGGUUGUAAACUUCUUUUAUAAAGGAAUAAAGUGAGGCACGUGUGCCGUUUUGAUUGUACUUUAUGAAUAAGGAACGGCUAACUCCGUUCCAGCAGACGCGGUAAUACGGAGGGUCCGAGCGUUGUCUGGUUUUAUUGGGUUUAAAUGGAGCGUAGAUGGGUUGUUAAGUUAGUUGUGAAAGUUUGCGGCUCAACCGUAAAAUUGCAAUUGAUACUGGCAGUCUUGAGUACAGUUGAGGUAGGCGGAAUUCGAGGUGUAGCGGUGAAAUGCUUAGAUAUCACGAAGAACUCCGAUUGCGAAGGCAGCUUACUAAACUGCCACUGACAUUGAUGCUCGAAAGUGUGGGUAUCAAACAGGAUUAGAUACCCGAGUAGUC